CGUCCGACCCGGCCUACUGGGAUAUCUCUUAUUCAGCUUAAAAUAUCAACACAACGCGUAUCAACAGAGCAGCCUUAACCCGUCUUCAAAAUAACAAUGGAACAAUAAAAACUCAACCCAUAUCCAAUGAAUCCCAAACCAACCCGUGACCAACAACCGAUUUCAACCCGUUUCUUUUUCCUCUUGGUCAUCAUGCGCUUUCCAUGCGGUUCAGUACUGAUAAGGACAUGAAAAUGCCGAGUUGGCAGCUAGGGCAUGUUUCAAAUGAUUAUUUCAUAAAAAUCGCUUGAAUCCAUUGGGAAUUUGUUUGAUUUGGUACUAUGAAGGUACAUAUGUGCUAAUUUUUAAUUGGGGGAAAAAGAAUUUUGUUUUCUUCUCAAGAUUUCAAAAUUCAAAAUUCCUUCUAGAAUUCCAAAUUGAGUACAUGAAUAUGUGAAAAUUGUUGUUAUCAUCCAAAAAAUUCAAAAUACCUCGUUGGAGAAAAUUCCAAAAUUACCCACCCUAAAUACCCUAAUCCCAACGUUCAAAGCUGAAGGGGGAUUCUCAAUUCUCUCCUAUAAAAAAGGUUUGGCUGUCCGUAAAGGGUUUUUUUUUGGGGAAAAAUUGCUUUGAAAAAAAAUCUGAGAGCUUCGACAACUUUCAAAAAGGGAAAUAUAGUUCUGUAGUACAAAUUCUUCUUUUUAAGAGAGGUAGACGACUGUUCGGAGAUUUUGGAGACACAGCAAUGUCCUCCGGUGGUAAUCGAGAUUCCAUCAAAAGUUCGAGUCCUGUUUUGCUGCCCUGAGAAAGGUACAUUCAAGGGAGUCGACACAAUAAAUACAACAAUCAAAAGGAUCACUCAAUAGGAGGAAGAGCAGAAAGUCAUCUUGAAAAUUUGUCUUGGAGCGAAGCAAAUGGUAUUUGAGUAAUCUUCAAACAAGAACUUUGCCCCAUUUACUUGUAUCCAAUGGAUUUGCUAUUUAAUUAUUUCUUCAAAAAGAUAUGAUUAAUAAUAGAAUAAGUCAUUCAAA